CCAAUAGCGUAUAUUAAAGUUGUUGCAGUUAAAAAGCUCGUAGUUGAAUUUUGGAUUCUUCCAAUUGGUCCAUCUUUUAGAUGAGUACUGGUUGUGUGGGGUCUAUCCGCCUGGUGAUACGUAAUGUCCUUUAUUGGAUGUUGCGGGUAGUCAGGACCUUUACCUUGAAAAAAUUAGAGUGUUUAAAGCAGGCUUAUGCCGGAAUAAAUUAGCAUGGAAUAAUAGAAUAGGACGAAGUUGUUUUAUUUUGUUGGUUUCUAGGACAACCGUAAUGAUUAAUAGGGAUAGUUGGGGGCAUUAGUAUUCAAUUGUCAGAGGUGAAAUUCUUGGAUUUAUUGAAGACUAACUACUGCGAAAGCAUUUGCCAAGGAUGUUUUCAUUAAUCAAGAACGAAAGUUAGGGGAUCGAAGACGAUCAGAUACCGUCGUAGUCUUAACCAUAAACUAUGCCGACUAGGGAUCGGGCGAUGUUGUUUCCAUGACUCGCUCGGCACCUUAUG
rnacentral:rRNA from 1 species